CAAGUACUCCCUCCGUCCAGAAUUACUUGUCAUCAAAAUGGAUGUGUCUAGAACUAAAAUACAUCUAGAUACAUCCAUUUCAAUGACAAGUAUUUUCAGACGGAAGGAGUACAAG
rnacentral:pre_miRNA from 1 species